GAUGAACGCUGGCGGCGUGCCUAAUACAUGCAAGUCGAGCGAAUGGAUUAAGAGCUUGCUCUUAUGAAGUUAGCGGCGGACGGGUGAGUAACACGUGGGUAACCUGCCCAUAAGACUGGGAUAACUCCGGGAAACCGGGGCUAAUACCGGAUAACAUUUUGAACCGCAUGGUUCGAAAUUGAAAGGCGGCUUCGGCUGUCACUUAUGGAUGGACCCGCGUCGCAUUAGCUAGUUGGUGAGGUAACGGCUCACCAAGGCAACGAUGCGUAGCCGACCUGAGAGGGUGAUCGGCCACACUGGGACUGAGACACAGCCCAGACUCCUCCGGGAGGCAGCAGUAGGGAAUCUUCCGCAAUGGACGAAAGUCUGACGGAGCAACGCCGCGUGAGUGAUGAAGGCUUUCGGGUCGUAAAACUCUGUUGUUAGGGAAGAACAAGUGCUAGUUGAAUAAGCUGGCACCUUGACGGUACCUAACCAGAAAGCCACGGCUAACUACGUGCCAGCAGCCGCGGUAA
rnacentral:rRNA from 1 species